rnacentral:rRNA from 1 species
GGAGGGUGCGAGCGUUGUCCGGAAUCACUGGGCGUAAAGGGCGCGUAGGUGGCUCGUUAAGUUGCCGGUGAAAUCCCGGGGCUCAACUCCGGGGCUGCCGGUAAGACUGGCGGGCUCGAGCACGGUAGAGGCAGAUGGAAUUCCCGGUGUAGCGGUGGAAUGCGUAGAGAUCGGGAAGAACACCAGUGGCGAAGGCGCUCUGCUGGGCCGUUGCUGACACUGAGGCGCGACAGCGUGGGGAGCAAACAGGAUUAGAUACCCUGGUAGUCCACGCCGUAAACGAUGGACACUAGGCGUCGGGGGGAGCGACCCUCCCGGUGCCGUCGCUAACGCAGUAAGUGCCCCGCCUGGGGAGUACGGCCGCAAGGUUG